rnacentral:misc_RNA from 1 species
GAUGAAGAACGUAGCGAAAUGCGAUAAGUAGUGUGAAUUGCAGAAUUCAGUGAAUCAUCGAAUCUUUGAACGCACAAUGCGCCCUUUGGUAUUCCAAAGGGCAUGCCUGUUCGAGCGUCAUUUGUACCCUCAAGCUUUGCUUGGUGUUGGGCGUCUUGUCUCUAGCUUUGCUGGAGACUCGCCUUAAAGUAAUUGGCAGCCGGCCUACUGGUUUCGGAGCGCAGCACAAGUCGCACUCUCUAUCAGCAAAGGUCUAGCAUCCAUUAAGCCUUUUUUUCAACUUUUGACCUCGGAUCAGGUAGGGAUACCCGCUGAACUUAAGCAUAUCAAUAAGCGGAGGA